CACGUAGGGCGCAAGCGUUGUCCGGAAUUAUUGGGCGUAAAGAGCUCGUAGGCGGUUUGUCGCGUCUGCCGUGAAAGUCCGGGGCUCAACUCCGGAUCUGCGGUGGGUACGGGCAGACUAGAGUGAUGUAGGGGAGACUGGAAUUCCUGGUGUAGCGGUGAAAUGCGCAGAUAUCAGGAGGAACACCGAUGGCGAAGGCAGGUCUCUGGGCAUUAACUGACGCUGAGGAGCGAAAGCGUGGGGAGCGAACAGG
rnacentral:rRNA from 1 species